UGAACUGGUUUACACCUAAUAUGUAACAUUGCAGGUGCAGGGGUAUCAUAAUGGUCACUAUGGAUGGCAGUGCUUCCACCCAUUCCCUGGUGCAGGGGUGUCAUAAUGGUCACUAUGGAUGGCAGUGCUUCCACCCAUUCCCUGGUGCAGGGGUAUCAUAAUGGUCACUAUGGAUGGCAGUGCUUCCACCCAUUCCCUGGUGCAGGGGUGUCAUAAUGGUCACAUGGAUGGCAGUGGUUCCACCCAUUCCCUGGUGCAGGGGUGUCAUAAUGGUCACUAUGGAUGGCAGUGCUUCCACCCAUUCCCUGGUGCAGGGGUGUCAUAAUGGUCACUAUGGAUGGCAGUGCUUCCACCCAUUCCCUGGUGCAGGGGUGUCAUAAUGGUCACAUGGAUGGCAGUGGUUCCACCCAUUCCCUGGUGCAGGGGUGUCAUAAUGGUCACUAUGGAUGGCAGUGCUUCCACCCAUUCCCUGGUGCAGGGGUGUCAUAAUGGUCACUAUGGAUGGCAGUGCUUCCAUCCAUUCCCUGGUGGCGGGGUAUCAUAAUGGUCACUAUGGAUGGCAGUGCUUCCACUCAUUCCCUGGUGCAGGGGUGUCAUAAUGGUCACUAUGGAUGGCAGUGGUUCCACCCAUUCCCUGGUGCAGGGGUAUCAUAAUGGUCACUAUGGAUGGCAGUGCUUCCAUC
rnacentral:misc_RNA from 1 species